UACAGAGGUCUCAAGCGUUGUUCGGAUUCAUUGGGCGUAAAGGGUGCGUAGGCGGUGAGGUAAGUUGGAUGUGAAAUCCCGGGGCUUAACCCCGGAACUGCAUUCAAUACUGCCUUGCUAGAGUACUGGAGAGGAGAUUGGAAUUCACGGUGUAGCAGUGAAAUGCGUAGAUAUCGUGAGGAAGACCAGUGGCGAAGGCGAAUCUCUGGACAGUAACUGACGCUGAGGCACGAAGGCUAGGGGAGCAAACGGG
rnacentral:rRNA from 1 species